CGUCGCCGUCGUAUCAGAUGAC
rnacentral:siRNA from 1 species